rnacentral:rRNA from 1 species
GGGCCCGCACAAGCGGUGGAGCAUGUGGUUUAAUUCGAUGCAACGCGAAGAACCUUACCAGGGUUUGACAUCCUGCGAAUCUCUUGGAAACAGGAGAGUGCCUUCGGGAACGCAGUGACAGGUGGUGCAUGGCUGUCGUCAGCUCGUGUCGUGAGAUGUUGGUUAAGUCCCGCAACGAGCGCAACCCACGUCUUUAGUUGCCAGCAUUUUAGUUGGGCACUCUAGAGAGACUGCCGGUGAUAAACCGGAGGAAGGUGUGGAUGACGUCAAGUCAUCAUGCCCCUUACAUCCUGGGCUACACACGUACUACAAUGGUGGGGACAACAGGUUGCCAACCCGCGAGGU